rnacentral:rRNA from 1 species
CUACGGGUCGCUGCAGUGGGGAAUAUUGCGCAAUGGGGGAAACCCUGACGCAGCAACGCCGCGUGAGUGAUGAAGGCUUUCGGGUCGUAAAGCUCUGUCAGGUGGGAAGAACGGGUUGGUUCCCAAUAAGGAUCGACCCUGACGGUACCGCCAGAGGAAGCACCGGCUAACUCCGUGCCAGCAGCCGCGGUAAUACGGAGGGUGCAUGCGUUGUUCGGAAUCAUUGGGCGUAAAGCGCGUGCAGGCGGUCCGGUAAGUCAGGUGUGAAAGCCCUUGGCUCAACCAAGGAAAGUCAUCUGAAACUGCCGGACUUGAGUACGGGAGAGGGGAGUGGAAUUCCCGGUGUAGAGGUGAAAUUCGUAGAUAUCGGGAGGAACACCCGUGGCGAAGGCGACUCUCUGGACCGAUACUGACGCUGAGACGCGAAAGCGUGGGGAGCAAACAGGAUUAGAUACCCCCGUAGUC